rnacentral:rRNA from 1 species
GACGAACGCUGGCGGCGUGCUUAACACAUGCAAGUCGAACGGAAAGGCCCUGCUUUUGUGGGGUGCUCGAGUGGCGAACGGGUGAGUAACACGUGGGUGACCUGCCCUUCACUUUGGGAUAACUUCAGGAAACUGGGGCUAAUACCGGAUAGGAGCUCCUGCUGCAUGGUGUGGGUUGAAAAGUUUCGGCGGUUGGGGAUGGACUCGCGGCUUAUCAGCUUGUUGGUGGGGUAGUGGCUUACCAAGGCUUUGACGGGUAGCCGGCCUGAGAGGGUGACCGGCCACAUUGGGACUGAGAUACGGCCCAGACUCCUACGGGAGGCAGCAGUGGGGAAUAUUGCACAAUGGGCGGAAGCCUGAUGCAGCAACGCCGCGUGCGGGAUGACGGCCUUCGGGUUGUAAACCGCUUUCGCUUGUGACGAAGCGUGAGUGACGGUAAUGGGUAAAGAAGCACCGGCUAACUACGUG